rnacentral:rRNA from 1 species
UACAGGGGGGGCAAGCGUUGUUCGGAAUUACUGGGCGUAAAGGGUUCGUAGGUGGCCACUUAAGUCAGACGUGAAAUCCCUCAGCUUAACUGGGGAACUGCGUCUGAUACUGAGUGGCUUGAGAUUGGGAGAGGGAUGCGGAAUUCCAGGUGUAGCGGUGAAAUGCGUAGAUAUCUGGAGGAACACCGGUGGCGAAGGCGGCAUCCUGGACCAACACUGACGCUGAGGAGCGAGAGCCAGGGGAGCAAACGGG